GGGCGUCUAGUUUCAUGUCUCAUCACUUCACCGCUGUGCAGGUGGGAGAUGUCAUCUUCAGUCUGAGUCAGAACUGCUGCUGGAGCUGCUGCUGGAGUGCUGGAGGAGACAACACAACUUUAAGGCGGGAACUGAACUGCUCCUCUGCUGCAGGGCACGGAGCCUGUGUCCUUUACAGAGGUGUGACUUGCUCUUGGGUUGAUCAUGACGUUGAAGUAAGCUCCAAACACAGCCGCUUCCAGCAUUUUGGCUCCCACCUAGGACAAGAGGCUUGCAAGAAGCUCUCCUGCUGAACUAGAGCAUCACCACAUGGGUCCUGCAGCAGGGCAGAACCUCACACUGCAGGACUCCCACUCCCUGUGACCCAGCGGCAUGCAACGCUUUCCAACACGGGGCUUUCAGAAUGUGGCUCCAGCAGUAGGAACUGCCGCACAGGGAUGGGCACCAUGAGGAGAAGCAGGAUGGGGGUCCCUACUCGAUGAUGCGCUCCCGGGGGUGAAAUGGAGACAGGGAGUCCAGGCCCAGCCGGCUGACCACCUGCAAAGAUCAGCACCACCACGUCAGCCCGUCACAGAUGAAGAGUUUUUCCUUCUUGAUGUAAAACUCAGCUGUGUCCAGCAUGGCCUUCUUGGGGACAAGCCCCACCAGCUGGGACCCAACCACAGGGAGGUUCAAUGCCUGCAAAGGACAUCAGAAACGUAGAAUAAUUUUUGUUGGAAAAGACCUUUAGGAUCAUGAAGUUCAAAUAUUAACCUAACAUAUGUGUGUCCCCAAAGCCAUCUACUCUGCACCACUAUCACCCCAGCCUGCUGGUCCUCAUCCCUUUCUAGGACCUGGGGAGCUUAUGGAAAAGCCUUCACUGGAAGAGCUGGGGCUAGCAGCAAGUUCUUGAGCUUUUGGGGUUUUGGUGCCAUUCAGCACACUGCCCAGUUUGGCUGAGCUGAGAGAGAUAAAGCAGAGCCUGACCCAGAGAUGGGAAGAAAAGCUUGGAGGGAGACAUCCUCUGGGAAGCCACCAUUGAAGCAACCAUGGCAGGUUGCCCCAUGCCACCCACCUCUGCAUCUCGGCAGACUUCCUCAUAGACAACGUGGAGCGGUGUGGUCUCGAAGUCCAGCAGGUUCGUUGAAACCUGGGCUAUAUUCUCUUCUUCCAAAUACCAGCCGAUGCCUUGUACUCUCUUCAGUCGCCCAGGCUGCUGAGAACUGUCACGGUCAAGGCAUGGCCUGGGAGGCACCGGGACAAGCAGGUCUGCUCCCAGCACACUGGCAGCAUGGGUGUACCUGGUCAGCACCACGCCCCUGCUCGCGGAUGUUGAGGGCAAUGCGGUGAGC